CUCGUGCUCUCUGAUGAUACAGAAAGAAUCAAGCAUAGUUCACACUGAAACUACCGUGUUGACACACAAGCAUCUAAACGUCUUUCGCUCCUAUCUGACCCUCCUU
rnacentral:snoRNA from 1 species